rnacentral:lncRNA from 1 species
ACCUAUGAAUAUGCAUAAGGAUUUUAUAUCAAACACUGUGGAUUCAUAAUAAUUCUAGGGAUACCUAUUUUCAUGGAUUGCUUGAGUAUUGGUGAACCACAAAUUUCAACAACCAAUAAAUUACACAUUUUCUAUAGGCUUCCAGACUGUGGCAAAACAAUUAAAUCAAAUAUCCAAGAAAAUAAAAUGUUUCCUAUAAAUUCAUGAAAAUUGGUUCCCAUG